rnacentral:rRNA from 1 species
GAUGAACGCUAGCUACAGGCUUAACACAUGCAAGUCGAGGGGAAACGAUAUUGGAAGCUUGCUUCCGAUAGGCGUCGACCGGCGCACGGGUGAGUAACGCGUAUCCAACCUGCCCACCACUUGGGGAUAACCUUGCGAAAGUAAGACUAAUACCCAAUGAUAUCUCUGGAAGACAUCUGAAGGAGAUUAAAGAUUCAUCGGUGAUGGAUGGGGAUGCGUCUGAUUAGCUUGUUGGCGGGGUAACGGCCCACCAAGGCGACGAUCAGUAGGGGUGCUGAGAAGAAGGUCCCCCACAUUGGAACUGAGCCCCGGUCCAAACUCCUACGGGAAGCAGCAGUGAGGAAUAUUGGUCAAUGGGCGAGAGCCUGAACCAGCCAAGUAGCGUGCAGGAUGACGGCCCUAUGGGUUGUAAACUGCUUUUAUAAGGGAAUAAAGUGAGUCUCGUGAGACUUUUUGCAUGUACCUUAUGAAUAAGGACCGGCUAAUUCCGUGCCAGCCGCCGCCGUAA